UGUAAAUUUGUAUAGGCAUCUUCCAUUUUCUCAUUUUUAAGGACUAUUAAAUAUUCUUUAAGCUUAUCUAAAGUUUCAUCGAAAGGUGUCUUAAACAGCGCUUCAGGGUUCCAUGGUACAUAAUAUUCAUCAUAUUUCUUGUGAUAAUAAAGCCAAGGAACGAUGAAUUCGUCGAAGUGACACGAUGGACGUUGUAUAUUAAUGCUCUUGAUGAGACUAUAAGUACUCAUUAUGGUGCUAAGAUAAGGCAUUAGCUUAGAUGCUUUAGUAUUACAAAAAUUUAAUAGAGUGAUUAAACUUCGAUAUACCAUAUCUUGCGAUAUCGGAUCUACCUGUAAAAAGUCUUAAAAUAUAACUGACCUCUGCAUGAAUGAGAUGAAGAAUUUCAUAAAUUUCAACCAGGUAUAUAUAAUUACUUUCAGUUACGAUGUUUUGCAAAAUGACGGCCGAGCCAUCAUCAUUUGAUGUUAAAAGUUCGCACAUAAAUUGCAUCUCGUUCGCUAUACAGUACGGUAAUUCUUUUGCGUAUAACAAUAUGUUACAUAAAUGAUUUACUUUGAUCGUUAAUGACUUUUUGCACUGAAAAAUAAACUUAUCUUAAAAUAUA